UGGGGAAUCUUGCACAAUGGGCGGAAGCCUGAUGCAGCGACGCCGCGUGGGGGAUGACGGCCUUCGGGUUGUAAACUCCUUUCGCCAGGGACGAAGCCGUGAGGUGACGGUACCUGGAUAAGAAGCACCGGCUAACUACGUGCCAGCAGCCGCGGUAAUACGUAGGGUGCGAGCGUUGUCCGGAAUUACUGGGUGUAAAGAGCUCGUAGGUGGUUUGUCGCGUCGUCUGUGAAAUUCCGGGGCUUAACUCCGGGCGUGCAGGCGAUACGGGCAUAACUUGAGUGCUGUAGGGGAGACUGGAAUUCCUGGUGUAGCGGUGAAAUGCGCAGAUAUCAGUGGAAACACCGAUGGCGAAGGCAGGUCUCUGGGCAGUAACUGACGCUGAGGAGCGAAAGCAUGGGUAGCGAACAGG
rnacentral:rRNA from 1 species